rnacentral:rRNA from 1 species
CCAGUAACGGCGAGUGAAGCGGCAACAGCUCAAAUUUGAAAUCUGGCCCCCAGGGCCCGAGUUGUAAUUUGCAGAGGAUGCUUUUGGCGCGGUGCCUUCCGAGUUCCCUGGAACGGGACGCCAUAGAGGGUGAGAGCCCCGUCUGGUCGGACACCAAGCCAGUGUAAAGCUCCUUCGACGAGUCGAGUAGUUUGGGAAUGCUGCUCUAAAUGGGAGGUAUAUGUCUUCUAAAGCUAAAUACCGGCCAGAGACCGAUAGCGCACAAGUAGAGUGAUCGAAAGAUGAAAAGCACUUUGAAAAGAGGGUUAAACAGUACGUGAAAUUGUUGAAAGGGAAGCGUUUAUGACCAGACUUGGGCCCGGUGAAUCAUCCAGCGUUCUCGCUGGUGCACUUUGCCGGGCUCAGGCCAGCAUCAGUUCGUCGCGGGGGAUAAAAGCUUCGGGAACGUGGCUCCCUCGGGAGUGUUAUAGCCCGUUGCAUAAUACCCUGCGGUGGACUGAGGUUCGCGCUCCGCAAGGAUGCUGGCGUAAUGGUCAUCAGCGACCCGUCUUGAAACACGGACCAAGGAGUCGUCUUCGUAUGCGAGUGUUCGGGUGUAAAACCCCUACGCGUAAUGAAAGUGAACGCAGGUGAGAGCUUCGGCGCAUCAUCGACCGAUCCUGAUGUUCUCGGAUGGAUUUGAGUAAGAGCAUACGGGGCCGGACCCGAAAGAAGGUGAACUAUGCCUGUAUAGGGUGAAGCCAGAGGAAACUCUGGUGGAGGCUCGCAGCGGUUCUGACGUGCAAAUCGAUCGUCAAAUAUGGGCAUGGGGGCGAAAGACUAAUCGAACCUUCUAGUAGCUGGUUUCCGCCGAAGUUUCCCUCAGGAUAGCAGUGUUGAACUCAGUUUUAUGAGGUAAAGCGAAUGAUUAGGGACCCGGGGGCGCUCUUUAGCCUUCAUCCAUUCUCAAACUUUAAAUAUGUAAGAAGCCCUUGUUGCUUAAUUGAACGUGGGCAUUCGAAUGUAUCAACACUAGUGGGCCAUUUUUGGUAAGC